CACAGUGUUCUGCACCAAUGACCUCCCAGUCACUCCUCGUAAAGCCCCAUCCUGUACAGACAGAUGACUGCUGGAACAGGUGUAGCGUCCAACCCUAUAAUGACCUUCUCUCCCUCUUCUCCCUCCCUCUCUUCUGUCACUGCUCCUUAUAAAACACGGGAGUAAAAAGUUAUUAAUGCCCACCCAGCUAUGGAUAAUGGAGACUAAUUAGCAUCUGGGUUUACAUCAGGGAUCAUUCAAUGAACUGACAACAGCCACGAUUGAACUCUUUGGCCUGAAUACCAAGCAUCACAUCUGGAGGAAACCUGUCUCCCUUCCUUCGGAGAAGCAUGGUGGUGGCAGCAACAUGCUGUGGGGAUGUUUUUCAGCGGCAGGUACUGGGAGACUAGUCAGGAUUGAGGGAAAGAUGAACAGAGCAAAGUAUAGCGAGAUCCUUGAUGAAAACCUGCUCCAGAGUGCUCUGGACCUCAGACUGGGGCUAAGGUUUACCUUCCAACAGGACAACGAUACAAAGCACACAGCCAAGACAGUGCAGGAGUGGCUUUGGGACAACUCUCUAAAUGUCCUUGAGUGGCCCAGCCAGAGCCCUGACUUGAAGCCGAUCUAACAUCUCUGGAGAGACCUGAAAAUAGCUGUGCAGCGACGCUUCCCAUCCAACCUGACAGAGCUUGAGAGGAUCUGCAGAGAAGAAAGGGAGAGACUCCACAAAUACAGGUGUAGCGUCAUACCCAAGAAGACUCAAGGCUGUAAUCGCUGCCAAAGGUGCAUCAACAAAGUACUGAGUAAAAGGUCUGAUGUUAUAUUUCUUUUUUUUUUCAUACAUUUGCAAACAUUUCUAAAAACCUGCUUUUGCUUUGUUAUUAUUAGGUAUUGUGUGUAGAAAAAAAACAACAUUUAAUCAAUUUUAGAAUAAGGCUGUAAUGUAACAAAAUGUGGAAAAUGUUAAUGCCGCUGUUAAUGCCCGGUCUGAUAUGUCAUUCAAAGACAGGCAGCUAAAAAGCAUGUGUCUGAUUUCUGUCACUGGGUUGUUGUUGAGUUGCUAUCUCUCGCCUUAACACACACCCGAGCACAAACGCUUCACCUGCACGCACGCACGCGCAUACACACACGAACACAUACAAAGACACACACACGUACUGUAUGAGUAGUCGUGCAGUGAGCGGGGACCUUCGCAGCUGGCCCACACACACGCAAUAGAUAUAACGCCAGAGCCGCUUGUGGAUUUGACAGCUUCAAUGCAGUUACACCUCUGACACGCCAAACAAAAGCAAUGAUAAGCUAUGCGUUUGUCGGUUACCACGGGUUACUGCUGAUCUGAUUUGAACCUGGCCUAAACGUAUACCAGGUGAUUCAACAACUCCAUCAAUCAUUUGAAGAUUUAAUUGAUUUCAUUCAGGCAUUAUUCAAAUCACUUAGAAUAGCUCUAGUGCUGGUUUUACUACAUCAACAAAACAGUGGAUGCGUUGUCAUUCGACACAUUAGCUGAUCAAAACGCACUUCCUCUGUGCUUGGAGAAGACUCAUGACAUGGACCGUGCCUUGACAAAUCAAUCGACACACUAAAAAGUCAACCAGUUCCAUCCUGGUCUGUAUUCAACUCCCCAGGGAAACAGUGAUGCACAGCAGGGAACCUACAGCUAUGUAAUUGGCUUUUCUCCUCUCGUUCUCUCUCCGUAUCUGUCACUCUCUCUUCCAGAGUGAGUCUGAAUUAGUCACAGUAAAAUGCCGUCCAGCCUUACUUGUGAUGAAAAAGCUGGACUAUCUGAGGCCUGACCCCAGCCUCACAGUGACCUAAUUAUAUGACUUCCCCCAACCUUUCAAUCAGUGGCCGCUCCACACAGGUCCAUUUAAAACCUCUUUGAGUAGGUAGGCUUCUCAUCGAUCCUAGCACAGGUAGGCUAAAUAUAAGCCUGAAAGGGACCAAAAGGGCUCUGGUCAAAAUAGUGCACUAUAUAGGGGAUAUUUGAAACACAAACAUAGUUUAUAAUGGACAGGGUAUGUAGUGUAUGGAUCAGAAACACCGAACACAUCAGAGUUAGAGGAUCAGAUUUAAUUAAGAUGCAUGGUAAUUGUAACAUCUGCAAACAUAGCCAGCUAGAAGAUUAAGCAAUAAGGCCCGACUGAGGGGGUGUGGUAUUUGGCCAAUAUACGAUGACUAAGGGCUAUUCUUAGGCAGGAUGCAACACGGUGUGCCUGGAUACACCCCUUAGCUGUGGUAUAUUAGAAAUUUACCACAAACUCCCAGGGUGCCUUAUUGUUAUCGUAAACUGGUUACUUUUAUAAUUAGAGCAGUAGAAAUGCAUGUUUCGUCAUACCUGUGGUAUACUGUCUGAUAUACCACGGCUUUCAGCCAAUCAACAUCCAGUGCUUGAACCACCCACUUUAUAAUAUUAAAUACUUUUCAUUGGCUUCUUAGAUAACACCUAUACGCUCCAUAUACAGUUGAAGACGGAAGUUUACAUACACUUAGGUUGGAGUCAUUAAAACUCAUUUUUCAACCUCCACAAAUUUCUUGUUAACAAACUAUAGUUUUGGCAAGUUGGUUAGGACAUCUACUUUGUGCAUGACACAAGUCAUUUUCCCAACAAUUGUUUACAGACAGAUUAUUUCACUUAUAAUUCACUGUAUCACAAUUCCAGUGGGUCAGAAGUUUACAUACACUAAGUUGACUGUGCCUUAAACAGCUUGGAAUGUUCCAGAACAUUAUGUCAUGGAUUUAGAAGCUUUUGAUAGGCUAAUUGACAUCAUUUGAGUUAAUUGGAGGUGUAUCUGUGGAUGUAUUUCAAGGCCUACCUUCAAGCUCAGUGCCUCUUUGCUUGACAUCAUGGGAAAAUCUAAAUAAAUCAGCCAAGACCUCCACAAGUAUGGUUCAUCCUUGGGAGCAAUUUUUUGAAGGUACCACCUUCAUCUGUACAAACAAUAGUACGCAAGUAUAAACACCAUGGGACCACGCAGCCAUCACACCGCUCAGGAAGGAGAUGCAAUCUGUCUCCUAGAGAUGAACGUACUUUGGUGCGAAAAGUGCAAAUCAAACCCAGAACAACAGCAAAGGACCUUAUGAAGAUGCUGGAGGAAACAGGUACAAAAGUAUGUAUAUCCACAGUAAAACGAGUCCUAUAUCGACAUAACCUGAAAGGCUGCUCAGCAAGGAAGAAGCCACCGCUCCAAAACCGCCAUAAAAAAAGCCAGACUAUGGUUUGCAACUGCACAUGAGGACAAAGAUCGAACUUUUUGGAGAAAUGUCCUCUGGUCUGAUGAAACAAAAACAGAACUGUUCGGCCAAAAUGGGGAGGCUUGCAAGCCGAAGAACACCAUUCCAACCGUGAAGCACAGGGGUGGCAGCAUCAUGUUGUGGGGGUGCUUUGCUGCAGGAGGGACUGGUGCGCUUCACAAAAUAGAUGGCAUCAUGAGGGAGGAAAAUUCUGUGGAUAUAUUGAAGCAACAUCUCAAGACAUGAGUCAGGAAGUUAAAGCUUGGUCGCAAAUGGGUCUUCCAAAUGGACAAUGACCCCAAGCUUACUUCCAAAGUUGUGGCAAAAUGGCUUAAGGACAACAAAGUCAAGGUAUUGGAGUGGCCAUCACAAAGCCCUGACCUCACUCCCAUAAAAAAUAUGUGGGCAGAACUGAAAAAGCGUGUGUGAGCAAGGAGGCCUACAAACCUUACUCAGUUACACCAGCUCUGUCAGGAGGAAUGGGCCAAAAUUCACCCAACUUAUUGUGGGAAGCUUGUGGAAGGCUACCCACAACGUUUGACCCAAGUUAAACAGUCUAAAGGCAAUGUUACCAAAUACUAAUGAAGUGUAUGUAAACUUCUAACCCACUGGGAAUGUGAUGAAAGAAAUAAAAGACUAAAUAAAUAAUUCUCUCUUCUAUUAUUCUGACAUUUCACAUUCUUAAAAUAAUGUGGUGAUCCUAACUGACCUAAGACAGGGAAUUUUUAAGAGGAUUAAAUGUCAGGAAUUGUGACAAACUGAGUUUAAAUGUAUUUGGCUAAGGUGAAUGUAAACUUCCGACUUCAACUGUAGGUAAACGCUGAGAGUAUUGUCAGAAAACAUAGUGUGAAAUAUGAAAACUACAGCUCAUUCAAUGGGCCCUUUAAAAGCUGGAAAUUAUUUAUCCAACCCGUUCAUUGUAAGAACUUACUAUUAAAAUACAGUGAUCAAGGUUUUCAAAAACAGAAAUAAAAUAUCUUGGACUUGUGCUUGGAGGAUCUUUGACAGAAAGGAGAAGAAAACAACAUCCCCCCUCUCUUUGUAUCCCACCCUGUGCAGUCCUCUCUGUAGCAGGUUUAGUGUUGCCUGGUAGUCAGACUGGUGGUCUUUGGUCUGUUAGUGAUCCUUGGACAAACAGUCCACCCUGCUUCAUCUUCAUUUUUGCUUGCAGCACUGUGCUCUCUGUCGAUAGACGUCCUUGGUGAAAGGUCUGCAAAUACCAGAGAAUAAACCCAUAAUAGAAUCAUAAAUGGGAGAAGAGAGUAAUACGGCUACUCCACCGUACCAGCCCGUGCCUGGAGCCCGUGUUUGUUCCCCGGAAGAGUGUGUGUGUGUGUGUGUGUGUGUGUGUGUGUGUAAAAGUUGUCCCUCUUCCUGCCUGUUAUCCAUUGCUGCACGCAUGGACACACAGUGUUCUGCACCAAUGACCUCCCAGUCACUCCUCGUAAAGCCCCAUCCUGUACAGACAGAUGACUGCUGGAACAGGUGUAGCGUCCAACCCUAUAAUGACCUUCUCUCCCUCUUCUCCCUCCCUCUCUUCUGUCACUGCUCCUUAUAAAACACGGGAGUAAAAAGUUAUUAAUGCCCACCCAGUUAUGGAUAAUGGAGACUAAUUAGCAUCUGGAUUUACAUCAAGAAUCGUUCAAUGAACUGACAACAGGUAGGUACAGACUGGAGAGUGAUAUAUAGCAUGUUUUGAUUGGGAUAGACAGGGGCAGGUACAGUAAACAGAGCUACCUAUUAUUCUGCUAGUCUGAAUAGCACGCAGUGAGCGUGACUUUGGAAGCUGGCCCACACACACGCAAUAGAUAUAACGCCAGGAGCCGCUUGUAGAUCUAACAGCUUCAAUGCAGUUACACCUCUGACACGCCAAACAAAUGCAAUGAUAAGCUAUGCGUUUGUCGGUUACCACGGGUUACUGCUGAUCUGAUUUGAACCUGGCCUAAACUCAUACCAGGUGAUUCAACAACUCCAUCAAUCAUUUGAAGAUUGAAUUAAUUUCAUUCAGGCAUUAUACAAAUCACUUAGAAUAGCUCUAGUGCUGGUUUUACUACAUCAACAAAACAGUGGAUGUGUUGUCAUUCGACACAUUAGCUGAUCAAAACGCACUUCCUCUGUGCUUGGAGAAGACUCAUGACAUGGACCGUGCCUUGACAAAUCAAUCGACACACUAAAAAAGUCAACCAGUUCCAUCCUGGUCUGUAUUCAACUCCCCAGGGAAACAGUGAUGCACAGCAGGGAACCUACAGCUAUGUAAUUGGCUUUUCUCCUCUCGUUCUCUCUCCGUAUCUGUCACUCUCUCUUCCAGAGUGAGUCUGAAUUAGUCACAGUAAAAUGCCGUCCAGUCUUACUUGUGAUGAAAAAGCUGGACUAUCUGAGGCCUGACCCCAGCCUCACAGUGACCUAAUUAUAUGACUUCUCCCAACCUUUCAAUCAGUGGUCGCUCCACACAGGUCCAUUUAAAACCUAUUUGAGUGGCUAGGCUUCUCAUCGAUCCUAGCACAGGUAGGCUAAAUAUAAGCCUGAAAGGGACCCAAAGGGCUCUGGUCAAAAUAGUGCACUAUAUAGGGGAUAGGGUGGGUGCUGUUUGACAAACAUCAUUUAUAAUGGACAGGGUAUGUGUUGAUUUAGAAACACCGAACACGGAUACAGAACACAAGACAAACAACACAGAGUUAGUCAACAUGUUUUAAGUGGGAUAGACAGGGACAGGUCAUGUGUGUUGUCACAGGGAAGGUUAAUAUGGGUUACUUAUUCUCUAUUCAUAACAAAUCUCUUGACCUGGUUUUCAAACAAUUGAAGACACAUUUUUCUGCGUGAGCACUUUCAUUCGUUUAGGGAGCAUUAGUUGGGAGCUUCUGAUGCAUAUUUUCUCCCUGAGUCCCCUUGAUAUACCUGCACAUAUGUGUUCUGAUUGUUGUGUAAUUGACUCUGUCUAUAUGUGUCCCUCUGUUGAUUACCUGUCUGGUGUAUCGUCCAAAGGCAGGCAACUAAAAAGCAUGUGUCUGAUGUCUGUCACUGGGUUGUUGAUGAGUUUCUAUCUCUUGCUCUCACACCCACUUCCCUGCACGCACUGUAUGAAUAGGCGUAUAGUGAGUGGGGACCUUGGCAGCUAGCUCUGGCUCUGGCUUUAGCUGGUUCUGUGUGGUGACAGGGAGACAGAGGGAUGGACGGAGGAAUGGAAAGAUCAUAAGUGGGCCACACUUAAUGUCCGAGGAGAAGACUGGGUGUGGGUUGAACCUUCUUCUGCCCUCUCUCCAUCCUCUGCUUUGAUGUGCUCGGAAGAAAACACAUUUGUUUAUUUAAUUCUCAACUCCUCCCUCUCAACUCCCCCUUAAUAAAUUGUGAGGGGGAGUUUGAUAACAAGAGAGACAGGAAGACAAAUCCUUCUAUUCCAAUUUUUCAAUAGCCGCCUGUCCCUUGUAAUAGUUAGGGAAUGGGACACAUUUCAGCAAAUAAACGCCUGUUUGAAAUAAAUGCCGGGUCUAUAUGAAUUGGUUAUACGGUUACCAUGAAUGUUUACAAGGUUUAAAAUAAAAUAAAAUCACAUUUCAGUCGUCACAUGCGCCGAAUACAACAGUAGUUACAUUAAAUAAUUCAGUAAUGACUCAAAAGAAAGGAUGAAAAUCAUCUGUUUUUAUUGCCAGUAAGAAUCUGCUAGCCAUUGGCUGCUAAUAGUGUAAAACUGCAAGCUAACUGGCAAGCAAAAAAACAGUCAACAACUUUGGGAAUACCGACCCCCAUAAAUUUGCCUAUCGCUGUCGAGUGGCGAAAGUAAGAACUGACAAAUGCAUAAUUAUUCUGUCAAGUAUUUUUUUCAAUAGAGGCAUAAGAAAUAUGACACAGGGUGUAAAUGAUAACAAAUUAGUCCAGGAAAUGAAUAAAUUGAUUCAAAUGCUGGAAGUGAAUGCUGGAAUUAAACAAUGAACUUUGCAAAUGGGCUGAUUUAACAUGAAACCUGUCACUUUAAUUGUCACAUUUUAUUAUCAUUUUUUAUGAUUUAACCUCUGGAGAUAAAACAUGUUUCUUAUGAACAAUAGAGAAGGUUCAAAUUACGUUAAAUAAAUCAUAUUUUUUUACAAGAUUAUACUACCCGAAAAGGCAGUCUAUUCGUGAAAUGAUACUUGUGUUGUGUGUUGCAGAUGGCGCGUUGGAAGCAUCAUACAAGUUCUGACCAGACGGUUUGGGGCCCCGUAUCUUGCCCUUUACCUCCUACCCACAGACGUAAUUUCAUUGAAAUGACGUGGAAAACAACGUUGAUUCAACCAAUGUGUGCCUAAUGG